AUACUGUCCAUAGUGUGUUUGAUAACCUGAUGUGGGACCAGAGUUCUUUUCACUGUUGUGUCAGUUUAUCAAACCCAUACCUGGCAUCGGU
rnacentral:pre_miRNA from 1 species